rnacentral:lncRNA from 1 species
GAAGCUGUCUUGUCUCACUGCUGAGAACAGUGAGGUACAGUCAGCAGGGCAGGCUGCAAAUAUCAAGGACAAGAUAAAAACAUCUUUUCUGUGGAUAAGCCUGUACAAAAAUCCUGAUGAAAUUACAGCUCCUACUGAUUUUCCUCCUCUGAUAACAGGGCGUCGGUCUCUGGGGAUGGUGGGAUAGCACUGGCAUUGAGGAGGGAUGAAGGAAAGCUAUUGCAGCCUUUUCUUUGUGCUCAUGGCCCAAGCUGAAGCACUGUAGCUCUCCCUGAAGGCAAUGUCCCUUUUCUCUUCUGUUGUAGCUGCAUCUCUGGACCAGACAUUGCCGCUUGCUACCAGCUGCAGUUGCUGUCUGUCAGCCGGAGGGAAGGAGGCUGUUGCUCAUUCUGUGCCAUCUCUGUUAGAUCUGCUGGAUUUGAGUCCUCUGAAAUAUUCAACAGUUGGCCCUGUGGCUGACAAUGGAGAGCCCAGUUCUGCCAGAGUGCUGGAGACCCUCUGCUCCGUGUCCAAGGAAGAAUGGAGGACAGGCAACAUCGCACUGUGUACAGAAGCAGACAGAGCAGCACCUUCUUGCUCCAGCCUGUGUGUCAGAGCUGCCAUCCACCUCAUGCGAACACCUACUGGGAAAUUCAGACCACCUGGGGAGGUAGCAAGCAAGGAGGUAUGUGUGUGGGGUUAG